rnacentral:snRNA from 1 species
GUGCUCGUUUCGGCUGCACAUUUACGAAAACGGGAUCGAUACAGAGAGGAUUAGCAGAACCCCUGAGCAAGGAUGACUCGCAAAUUCGUGAAGCGGUGU